UAGAGGAGGAGCAUCUAGUUCGUGCGGUCCUCAGAACCGCAUCUAUGCACUGGCUGGAUGACAAGAUCUUGAGUCUUCGCUUGAUGUUGUUACAGAGUGAUUGUUGAACCUCAAAAAGACCCGUUUAGUAGCGUUUGAGCGAGAAUUGAGGUACACCCAGAUGUGUUGAAGCUAUUAUAGAAGAUGUUCCAGCGGAGUUGGCAGGUUCCACUUGUUCCUGGAGUGCUGCCGAGUCAGAGUAUAUGUGCUAUGAUGUCUGAUUAAUGUUAGAGACUUUGCAGACAGAGUCGUGGGUAUAGAAUGUCAGUUCUGUGAGCGGCUCCAUCAGCCGAUGUGUCAUUUAUGUUAUGAUAUAAAUUCCAUAUGAUCAAAGAUUUUGUUUGAU